CUGGUGGUCGAUGCGGAAACUGGAGAUUGACGAAUGGCUAACAAGGGCUGUACAGGCUCUAUACAGAGAGGCUGUCAGCAAGGUUAGGAUUGGCAACGAAUAUAGUGAAGAAUUCCGGGUAGAAGUAGGUGUACACCAGGGCUCAGCCCUCAGUCCCCUUUUAUUCAUCAUAGUCCUCCAGGCAAUAACAGAGGAAUUCAAAACAGGUUGCCCCUGGGAGCUCCUCUAUGCUGAUGACGUGGCCCUCAUAGCAGAAUCACUACAGGAACUAAAAAAGAAAUUUCGGGUGUGGAAACAAGGGUUAGAAUCAAAGGGGCUUAGAGUAAAUGUAGCGAAGACCAAAGUUAUAGUAUGCAGAAAGGCGAACUCAGCACACACCCCAUCGGGCAGGUGGCCCUGUUCGACGUGUAGGUAGAAACUCCAUAAGAUACACCCAGUGUAAGCUAUGGAUGCAUAAGAGGUGCAGCAACAUCAAAGGGAAAUUAACUGAUAAGAUAGCUUUCAUGUGCGGCAGAUGCACAGGGUCAAUAGACACCACAAAUACUCAGAAAACAAAUUCCAUCACACUCCAGGGGGAGAAACUAGAAGUAGUUGAUAGUUUCUGCUACCUGGGUGACUAAGUUAGUAGUGGGGGUGGAUGCUCAGAGAGUGUCACCACUAGAAUACGAAUAGCCUGGGCAAAGUUUAGAAAGCUCCUACCCCUACUGGCGACAAAGGGUCUCUCACUCAGAGUGAAAGGUAGAUUGUAUGAUGCACGUGUGCGAACUGCCAUGCUUCACGGCAGUGAAACAUGGGCCGUGACUGCAGAGGACAUGCGUAGACUUGAAAGAAAUGAAGCUAGCAUGAUCCGCUGGAUGUGUAAUGUCAGUGUGAAUGCAUGACAGAGUGUAAGCACCGAGAGAAAUGCUAGGCAUAAGAAGCAUCAGAUGCGGUGUGCAAGAGCGACGCUUGCGAUGGUAUGGUCAUGUACUGCGGAUGGAUGAGGAGAGAUGUGUGAAGAAGUGUCACUCCAGGAAGACAUGGGAUGAGGUAGUCAAGCAUGACCUCAGAGCGUUGGGCCUCACUGAGGCAAUGGUGAAGGACCGAGAUCUCUGGAGAUGUGCUGUGACUACUAAAACCCGGGAUGCUUCCGGCACCAGUUCCGCAUAGCCCCUGCCCAAAGUACCUUGGAUCCCGGAACAUCUCGCUGUGCUUGAGGAGACCUGUUGAGUCAAGUGCAUGUACAUGAACAUCAAACCAAAUAUCAAUGGAAACAGUAGUUGUGAUACCAUAAAAAGCACCAUCCGUACGUGGCCGUUGCCAGUGCCGCCUCGACUGGCUUCUGUGCCGGUGGCACAUAAAAAGCACCAUCCGAACGUGACCGAUGCCAACUCCGCCUCGAAUGGCUUCUGUGCCGGUGGCACAUAAAAAGCACCAUCCGAACGUGGCCAAUGCCAGCCCCGCCUCGACUGGCUUCUGUGCCGGUGGCACAUAAAAAGCACCAACCGAUCGUAGCUGGUGCCAGACCCCUCUGCAGGUGGCACGUAAAAAGCACCCACUACACUCGCGGAGUGGUUGGCGUUAGGAAGGGCAUCCUGCUGUAGAAACACUGCCAGAUCAGACUGGAGCAGCCUCUGGCUCCCCAGACCCCGGUCGAACCAUCCAACCUGUGCUAGCGCGGAAAACGGACAUUAAAUGAUGAUGAUGAUGAUGAAUUUAAAAAUCUUAAACAGACUUGAUACAGGUCCAUCUUCUGCCCAAUGCCAUUUUCCCUGUACUAAUAGAAAAGAUAUCUGUUUUCCUGCCAUUUCUGAAACUACACUGAGACCUAAGGAGGACCUUACCAGUGAUGUCCGUCUAGCAUGAUCCUACACAACACCUUGCCUACAACAGAAAGAUAUUCUAUGGUCAUUUCAACAGUUCUGUUUCCCUUUAUAGAGAACAUCUUUCCAAUCAUUUGAGACAUUCCCUUCCAUCCAAACUUUUUGCGUUAAUUUAGAUGUUGAAUCAGGCUUUCACUUCCACAUUUCAAGAUGUCAGCUCAGAGACCAUCUGUCCCAGAAAAUUUUCCACCAUCUAGCUUUUUUUACAUUUUCAACUUCUUGAAUGGAAGGACUUUCUACCUUAUGUUCUUUUAUGGGCA
rnacentral:lncRNA from 1 species